rnacentral:rRNA from 1 species
GACGAACGCUGGCGGCGUGCUUAACACAUGCAAGUCGAACGGAAAGGCCCUGCUUUUGUGGGGUGCUCGAGUGGCGAACGGGUGAGUAACACGUGAGUAACCUGCCCUUGACUUUGGGAUAACUUCAGGAAACUGGGGCUAAUACCGGAUAGGAGCUCCUGCUGCAUGGGGGGGGUUGGAAAGUUUCGGCGGUGGGGGAUGGACUCGCGGCUUAUCAGCUUGUUGGUGGGGUGGUGGCAUACCAAGGCUUUGACGGGUAGCCGGCCUGAGAGGGUGACCGGCCACAUUGGGACUGAGAUACGGACCAGACGCCUACGGGAGGCAGCAGUCGGGAAUAUUGCACAAUGGGCGGAAGCCUGAUGCAGCAACGCCGCGUGCGGGAUGACGGCCUUCGGGUUGUAAACCGCUUUCGCCUGUGACGAAGCGUGAGUGACGGUAAUGGGUAAAGAAGCACCGGCUAACUACGUG